UACAGAGGUCCCAAGCGUUGUUCGGAUUCACUGGGCGUAAAGGGUGCGUAGGUGGUCGGGUAAGUCUGAUGUGAAAUCCCGCAGCUCAACUGCGGAAUGGCAUUGGAUACUAUUUGGCUAGAGGGUUGGAGGGGGGACUGGAAUUCUCGGUGUAGCAGUGAAAUGCGUAGAUAUCGAGAGGAACACCAGUGGCGAAGGCGAGUCCCUGGACAACUCCUGACGCUGAGGCACGAAAGCUAGGGGGAGCAAACAGG
rnacentral:rRNA from 1 species